AGCAUGUAUUAUUCUGCUGUGUGUCGGAGUGUGGCUGCUGGACCGAGAAGAUCUACCAACAAAAUAUAAUCUUCUCUGGAGCUAUAAGGAAGACGGGGGGAUAGUUAUGUAAAUAUGUCGCACCCUUUCAUUGCGUACGCGAAAAGGUUGGGUUACGAUGAGAAGUUAGCGCAGAAAGCAAUUCAGACACGAGGGAAGGAUGCCGAUGAUAAUGAGCUGUUACGAGUUUUGA